AUGCACUUUUAUAUCCGGAUUCUUCGAGCGGCCUCAGCUCCACGGUUCCCGACGCGGUCGGCACAUGCGCGAGGACCCUGCUCCCUCUUCCUCCGCCUCCACUGGCUCCCACCGUCCGGGAAGCCGCCGCCACCGCCGCCGAGGAGUCAGGAAGUUCAAGAUGGCCGCCGCGGAGGCUCCGACGCUGCGGGAACAGCCAGAGAUGGAAGAUGCUGAUAAUUCGGAAAAGAGUGUAAAUGAAGAAAAUGGAGAAGUGUCAGAAGACCAGUCUCAGAACAAGCACAGUCGUCACAAGAAAAAGAAACAUAAACACAGAAGUAAACAUAAGAAACAUAAACAUUCUUCAGAAGAAGACAAGGAUAAAAAGCAUAAGCACAAGCAUAAGCAUAAGAAACACAAAAGAAAAGAGGUGAUUGAUGCGUCUGACAAAGAAGGUAUGUCUCCAGCCAAAAGAACUAAACUCGAUGACUUAGCUUUGCUGGAAGACUUGGAGAAACAGAGAGCCUUGAUUAAAGCCGAACUUGACAAUGAGUUAAUGGAAGGAAAGGUCCAGUCUGGGAUGGGGCUCAUCUUGCAGGGUUACGAGUCUGGCUCUGAAGAAGAGGGGGAGAUUCAUGACAAAGCAAGAAAUGGGAAUAGGCCUAGUACCAGGUCUUCGAGCACCAAGGGGAAACUUGAACUUGUGGACAAUAAAAAUAGCGCAAAAAAGCGAAGCAAAAGCAGAUCCAAAGAACGGACUAGACAUAGGUCUGAGAAAAAGAAGAGUAAGGGCGGUGUCGAGAUAGUCAAAGAGAAGACGAGGAGCAAGUCGAAGGAGAGGAAAAAGUCCAGAAGCCCCUCCAAAAGGAGCAAGUCCCAAGACCAAGCGAGAAAGUCGAAGUCUCCCGCCCUCCGAAGGCGCUCUCAAGAGAAGAUUGGCAAGGCCAGAUCUCCCCCCGACGACAAGGUCAAGAUCGAAGACAAAAGUAAGCCAAAAGAUAGGAAAAAGUCCCCAGUUACAAAUGAGAGUAGAAGUCGGGAUCGAGGCAAAAAAUCUCGAUCCCCAGUUGACGCGCGAGGUAAAUCCAAAGACAGAAGGUCACGGUCCAAAGAGAGAAAACCACAGCGGUCUGAAACUGAUAGAGAGAAGAAACCAGUUAAAUCUCCCUCUAAAGAUGCCUCUUCUGGGAAGGAAAACAGGUCGCCCAGUAGGAGACCUGGUCGGAGUCCUAAGAGAAGAAGUCUGUCUCCGAAACAGCGCGAUAAAUCACGAAGAAGCAGGUCUCCGCUCGUAAACGACAGAAGGUCUAAGCAGAGCAAGUCGCCGUCUCGAACUCUGUCCCCUGGUAGGAGAGCCAAGAGCCGCUCCUUGGAAAGAAAACGCAGGGAGCCUGAACGCAGACGCCUUUCUUCUCCACGGACACGUCCUCGAGAUGACAUCCUCAGUAGGCGGGAAAGGUCAAAAGAUGCCAGCCCCAUCAGUAGGUGGUCUCCUGCCCGAAGAAGAGCCAGUCGGUCUCCGGUCAGAAGGAGGUCCCGAUCCCCCCUCAGACGCAGCCGGUCUCCCAGAAGAAGAAGCCGAUCUCCUCGGAGGAGGGACAGGGCUCGGAGGAGCAGGUCCCGCCUCCGGAGGCGCUCUCGGUCUCGGGGUGGUCGCAGACGCAGGAGCAGAAGCAAGGUGAAGGAAGACAAAUUCAAAGGAAGCCUUUCCGAAGGAAUGAAGGCUGAGCAGGAGUCUUCGUCUGAUGAUAACCUUGAAGACUUUGAUGUAGAGGAGGAAGACGAAGAAGCCUUGAUAGAACAGAGACGGCUCCAAAGGCAAGCCAUUGUUCAGAAAUACCAGUACCUUGCCGAGGACAGCAACCUGUCCGUGCCGUCCGAGCCCAGCAGCCCCCAGAGCAGCCCGCGCACCCGGUCCCCUUCCCCAGACGACAUCCUGGAGAGGGUCGCCGCCGACGUCAAGGAGUACGAACGGGAAAACGUGGACACGUUCGAGGCUUCCGUCAAAGCCAAGCACAACCUCAUGACGGUUGAGCAGAGUAAUGGUUCAUCUCAGAAGAAGCUCUUGGCACCUGAUAUGUUUACAGAAUCUGAUGAUAUGUUUGCUGCAUAUUUCGAUAGUGCGCGUCUUCGGGCUGCUGGCAUUGGAAAAGAUUUCAAAGAGAAUCCCAAUCUCAGGGACAACUGGACUGAUGCCGAAGGCUAUUACCGUGUGAACAUAGGCGAGGUCCUGGAUAAGCGCUACAACGUGUACGGCUACACGGGUCAGGGCGUGUUCAGUAACGUGGUGCGUGCCAGGGACAACGCGAGGGCCAACCAGGAGGUGGCCGUGAAGAUCAUCCGGAACAACGAGCUCAUGCAAAAGACUGGCUUAAAAGAAUUAGAAUUCUUGAAAAAACUUAACGACGCCGAUCCUGAUGACAAAUUUCACUGUUUGCGACUCUUCAGACACUUUUAUCACAAGCAGCAUCUCUGUCUUGUGUUUGAGCCUCUGAGUAUGAAUUUACGAGAGGUGUUAAAAAAAUAUGGUAAGGAUGUCGGCCUUCAUAUUAAGGCCGUACGAUCCUAUAGUCAGCAGUUGUUCUUGGCACUGAAACUCCUUAAAAGAUGCAAUAUCCUCCACGCAGAUAUCAAGCCAGACAAUAUCUUGGUAAGUCGGCAGUCGGGCUUUCUGACGCUUGGUCCAGCUUCUUACCUGAUGUGUGAUUACCAUUGUAUUCUAGAAAUGAUGUCUUAGAAGAGUAAUGCAGUUUAUUGACUCCCUAUUACAAAUGAUCUUGCCCGUUUUUACUUUUUCAGAAGUUGGGCCAUGAAGUUUUACAGUAAAAUGUAGAGAAAGGAAGUAAGCUGCUGUCCCAGUUUUUCCCUUUCAGUUGGUGGGUUUGAGUUCACACAGAUCCUAGGAGUGCUCUGAGGUGGUAGCGGUGGGCUCGUUGCCUGAAACAGCUGAGCGAAGGCGGCGGUGUUGCCCUUCCGGAGGUGGUGUCCGAGGCCUCUGUUCUGCGGUUUGGUGGACGAGCGAGGGCCGUGCGAGGAGGACUCACUCCGAAGCAGAUGCGUGGGGUCGGGCGGCAGUGCCCGGAAGGAGGCUCGUCCCUUUGUCCUUCAUGCAUCAGAAGCUGUGGGGCCUUGUACUGAAGGCUUACCUCUCCCAGUGCGGCCUCUCCCGGCUCCUGGCCUCCAGUGAGGGAGAGCAGGUGUCCCAGCGUUUGCUUUUGAACCCACGUGCCCCUGCCCUCCCCGGCCCUGCGCCCUCGUCCCGUCAGAGCCUGGGGCGUCUUCACGCUCAGGGGAUUCUUGGCUUGUCUGCCAGGAACAUAGUCCACCUGUUGAGAAGAAGAUGCAGUCUUGUUCAGGUUUGUUUAGGACCCCUUCUCAUCAGUAACUUAGCUCCUAGUUCAGAUUCCUCUUUUUCUUCUUUCUUUUUUUUUUUUGCUAUCUUAAUAUUUCCUUCCAGACUCCCGCAGUAGGGAGGCCUUCCAGUUUGUUGUGCUUGGUCCUUGUUUAUAAUGUGGCACGAGUGUCACAGAACCGGGGGGUGGAAGGGCUGAGAAGCCACCGUGAAACAGUAGACACAGUACCAGUGAGUUGUAGGCAGAGGUAGUUGUGCAGCGAGUGUCUGUGUGACGCCACAGAGGUUGCAUAAGACAGUGGCAGCGUCUUAAAAGUUAUUGUUUUUAAAACAUGAUUUUUGAGCUGAUCCUAAACUAGUAUAGGUUUUCGUGUGUGUCAGACAGUUUUUCCUUCUUCCUGAGAAAGGGAAAAAUAGACAUGAGAGGCCACAUGGAGCUGUUUGUUAAUGAAAAGCCAGAGCUUGGAGCCCAGCUGGCAGCCAUCUGAGCCGUGGAAGCGCCGCGUCCCUGCGGGCACGUGGGACGAAGAGGCCCGCGGGGUCCCUGCUCCCGCCGAGGCGCUUUCUCCAGCCCCUGUCGUGCAGUUUGUAGUCCUGGGGUUUCUCUGCCUACCGAAACUGCGUCCCUAAGCAGCUGGAUGCAGCUUAUAUCACAAAGCGAUCCGAGGCCUUGUCAUUGGAAGGCGCUGGGGUUCCCGGUCCCGGACGCGGGGGGCCAUCGACGUGGCCGUUCACGUCGUGCCUGUUGUGAAUUCCGAGGGUAUCUUCUGUCACGGGCCGGUCGUAACACGGACCUUGACCUGGCCUCACGGUGUCCCAGGAGAGCUGGCCGGGGCCCUUUGCCGCAGGGUCGUGUGUCUCGGGGGUGGGCACGGUAGGCCGAGUUCAAGUCCCAACUCGCAUUUGUGUGUGUCUCUCUUGAAGGGGGGAAGGGGACUCUGCACUGUGAAUUUCCUCACUUGUUAAUCCCGACCGCGCUUCCGACUCAGGCGUGGCAGCAGCCCUGGGAGCACCUGCAGCCCUUCCCGGCAGAUGCCGCUGUCACUGUGUUAAUGAAUCGAAAACUAUCUUGAAGCUCUGCGAUUUUGGCUCGGCUUCCCACGUCGCGGACAACGACAUCACGCCUUAUCUCGUCAGUAGAUUUUAUCGAGCUCCUGAAAUCAUUAUAGGUAAAAGCUAUGACUACGGUAUAGACAUGUGGUCCGUAGGUUGUACCCUGUAUGAACUCUAUACUGGGAAAAUCCUAUUUCCUGGCAAAACCAAUAACCAUAUGUUGAAGCUCGCCAUGGAUCUCAAGGGAAAGAUGCCGAAUAAGAUGAUUCGGAAAGGUGUAUUUAAAGACCAACAUUUUGAUCAGAACCUCAACUUUAUGUACAUAGAAGUUGAUAAAGUAACAGAGAGGGAGAAGGUUACUGUCAUGAGCACCAUUAACCCAACUAAAGACCUGUUGGCCGACCUGAUUGGCUGCCAGCGCCUUCCCGAGGACCAGCGUAAAAAAGUGCACCAGCUCAAGGACUUGUUGGACCAGAUCCUAAUGUUGGACCCUGCUAAGCGGAUUAGCAUCAACCAGGCCCUGCAGCAUGCCUUCAUCCAGGAGAAGAUUUAAACCAGAGAAGAAGCUCCAAGGGGUUGAGUAAUUAAGUACAAAGACUGACGAGAUUUCACAGCAGUUUAUUAAUGUAUAUAAACUUAUAAAUAUUUCUCCAGCAAAUUUGAGAACGCAUGAUAUAUUUGAAUUAACACCAAGGGUGAUAUUUCUUUUAGAAGUGUUAGUUGAUCUGUUUUGUGUCGGAUGUGAAAUUCCACUGUAGAACUGUUGUAGUUGCCAAGGCUGCCCAGAGCUUCAGUGCGAAUGUCAAGGGUUGCAGUUCACAGCAGAGACGGAAGCAUCGGUUACAAACGAGGGCUAGUGCUGGGUGGUUGAUUUAUUUUAGCAAACUUGGCUUCAUUGUGGUCUUCGGAGAAAAAGGCCGGCAUAAAUGCUGUUUAUAUUCACGUUUCCCUAGGUGUGUGUGUGCAGGCCACAGCGGCAUGCCCUGGGUGUAGUCAGUGCCGAAAGGGGCCUGUUCCUUCUUGAGCCUGCCUGCAGGGACGGUCUCCUCUUUUAAAGCAGGUUGCGUACAGCAUUCAGUACACUGAAGGUAAGCUGAACCAUCCGCCUCCCGGUGUCUGCAGAUGUUAGUUUAUUGGAACAAUUGACAAAGGAGGGAUGUUCUUAGCUUUGUGGCGGAUUCCCUGCAUGUGUGAUAACUGAUCUUGUUUCUUUUCUGGCAUCGCACCUGUGGCAUAGUUACAAUUUCUGUUCUGUUCAUCACAUUUAAAAUUUGAAGAGUAUGCGCUUGAUGGAUGGAGCGCCUUCAGUGUACUGUUUCUUAUUACCUUUAAUUUUUCUAGAUCAACUUGCUAUAGACUUUAUAUACAUUUUGUUAAACACAGCUCCUAGUGACCUGGAAACGGGCGUACUUUUCAUUUACUGAUAACAAAUGUUGAGGCCUGAUUCUGGAAGUCCUCAUAUUUAAAGUUAGAUAGGCCACGUAAUGAAUUUUAACUAUUUGUAUGUUGUUUUGAAAGUGUACUGCUUUGUGGUAAAAGCGUUUCCGUUUGUUCAUUUUCACUACUUGUGAUCAUGUUGUCUUUCAAUACAGGCGUAAACCUCCCACUCUUGAACAAAGCAGCUGCUUUUUAAAAGCGGUAAUUGCUUCUUUACCUUCUCCUUCUUUUGUAAAUGAAACUGUCCUUUAAGAAUGUGACUUGAAAGUGUCGUCCGUUUGCCUAAAACAGUUGGCACGCGCUCACUGUAAAGUGGAGAUGGUUCUACUGCAUGUGACGUGCACCAUGCAGGUUUCUGUGUGUUCUCAGUCCGCAUCACUAGAGAAUAAAGGCUUUUGUGAACAAGGCAUUUGUAGCCAUUUCUAAAAGUGUUGUCUUCAGUGCUGGCGAGUCAGGUAACCGUACCUGUAGUGCGAAGCGACCUCUCGCUGCUUCCCUUGAGCCUGACGGAAGGAACUGUCCCUUAAAGACGUAGUAGCUUCGCCCCGGGCUCAGCGCCUCAGGGCAGGUUGGGAUCCCGACUGUGCCCUCAAAGAAUCCUCCCGAGAUAGCGGCAGCUCGCAGUGUAGUGAGGUAACGCCUGUAGGUUGCGGGGUGCGACUCAGGGUGUAACUAAUGUUUCUGCUAUUUUCUCACUCUUCCUCCUGAUGGUGCGGAAAGAGGAGAAGGAGAACGGGGCACAGGCCACUCACCGCCUCUCCAGGGUCUGAUUUGCUGAGACACCAGCUUCACCUUCCUAACAAGGUUAUUUCCGACAGCAUGUGUAGAUAAACGUUUAGCAACAAUGUAAAGCCAAGUCAUGUAAAUCAGGGUGGUUUUGCAACACAGAGGAAGUAGUGUUUUUAACGUGGUAGAGGCGAAUUUUCAGAAAUGUAUGGCAUCGGUUCUCUUUGGGUGGUAAAAUUAGUGCUUGGCUCCCUGAGGAAUGUGGAAACAAGCAGCCUUGGGGGGUUUACCUGAUCUUUUGAAAUUGUAAAUGGGAUUUUUCUAUUCACCCAGGCACCUAAUUACAACAGGCAUGCACAUUUUGGUGCAUUCAAGAAUGGAAAAUCAGAAUAGCAGCAUUCUUCUGGUGGGUUUUGCUCCAUUUAAAGACAUGAACUGCAGCCAGGAAGGUGACAGACGCUAUCACAAGCCAGCUUUGAGUCUGGACCCCGUCUGCUCGCUCGUGGUUUAGACCUAAAGCAAAGGCCAGGCAGUGAGGCCUCGUAAAUGAGGCUCCGAGGCGCAGCUCUCCUGCCGGAGUGAGACGGCAGCGAGGCCCCCACCAUGACUCACCUUGCUGAGAAUAUGCUGCAUUCGGGCCAGGCUUUUGUAGUUACUUUUCACUCAAAAUAGUUAACGUUUGGAUGUUUCUGGUGCUUUUCAUGGCUUCAUUUUGUAGACUUAUUUUAAGUAAGUUAACUUCCAGUAGAAACAGUUCAUCUUAUGCCUUCAAAACUGUUACAUGUUCUUUAAAAAACAAAGUUGCUUGUUACUUGUUCUUUGUGUUUUAGGUGCAGCUCAGUGGAAGAUGAUGCCACCAGAAGACAUGAGCUAAGGUUUCUGUCCCAUAAAAGAUUAAAAAAAAAAAAAAAGAAAGAAAAAAAAAAGAGAAAACUCCUCCAUUUAAUUUGCGUCCAGUUUUUUGUUUUGCAGCCUUUGUGAUUGGGUGCGUUCAUGUCUGGUACUCAGUGGUGGCACUGUGUCCAUUGUGAAAUGCUUGUUCCGUCAUCUGCCGCCUGCCUCCCUCCCCACCCUCCCUCCCCUCCAGUGAGGAUAGCGGCCACAUCUAGCGAGGUGGGCGACGUGGGCGGGGAGGUACCCCACCGCACGGGGUGUCCAGACGGUUCCCCGGGCUUGUUAGAAAACCAGCUGCCCCCGAAGAGCUUCCGUCAGAAAGCCGCCCCCCCCCCACGCGGGGUGUCACCUCUCCUCGCCCAGCGCCCGCCCAAGGCCGGGACCUGGGCUCCUGGAGCCCCACUCAGCUCCUGCGGCGCCCCCAGCUCGCCCCGAGUCUGUCCGCGGCUAGGGCUCAGCAGUGGUCUCGAAACAGACCAGACGUCCGGAGCCACUGUCGGUUUCCCAUCUUAAGGGAGUGAGGCGACAGCCUGCGGCUCUUCUCCCCCGAACACGGCAUUCCCAGGCGAUGUAUUAGAUAGGAAGCCCGGAAGCAGCCUCUCUCCACGCCCGCACGAUUGUUGUAGAGUGUCGGGCCCCGUGCUAGGUCGAGGCCAGGGGCCCGGCUGAGCAGCCCUCGGCAGGCGUGCGGUGCUCAAAUACAGUUCUCGUGAUGCUGGCUCUGUGACACUUGAGGGCAAAAACGUGCCAGUGAGUGUGAGCCUUCUGGGGCCCCCGAGUCCUGGGGUGCAGUUCCCGCUGCGACUGGGGGGUGCCUCUCACGGGUCUCAGACCCCACCUCUGGGUGGACCUCCCCCAAAGGUUGUCAGAAAUGAGGCUGGAGUUGCAGGGUUUUGAAGGGAGGGGGGGCUCCCAGCAUCUGUAUUUAAUAGCAUCUUGUCCUUUAUCCCCAGCACCUGUUUCAUUCCUUCUGCUGCUUUUUUCAAAAUAAUUUUGCUUUCUUUUUUUUUUCUUUUUUUUUUUUUUUUUUGCCUUUAUAAUUACCACUUUCUUUUCCUAAAACACUCAGGACAUGCUCACAGUACAAACGUUGUGUGUGUGGUGUGUGGUGGAGGCGGUGAAACGUAGAGUCCUCAGAUCGUUGCUUUGCGUUCUUCCUGCUCCGCGUUCCCUGUGCUCUGGCCGUCAUUUGUCGCGGACCUCAAGCUGCUGGCAAGGGGAGUCACGUACCUUCAGACGUAGGCCACGCCGUUAAGGAAGCCCCUUUCAAAUACUGAGAUAGGAAAGAAGCCAGAUGAUCAAAUACGUAGCACUUCAUGUCAGCCUGAGAGCUUUGCAAAGUGGGCUUCAUAAAGUUUCUUUCCUAGUAACUUAGUUCAAGCGUAUAUUCAACAUGAAUUUUAUCUUUUUUUGAGGUGAAAUGCCCCCCUUAUAGAAAUGUUCACUGCAGAUUCGUUUGUGUUUUUUACAUGUCAGUGUAUGCUAAGUUGACUUUUAAAAAAAGUUUUCCAGUUCCUUUGAUGGAUAUCAGCAUGACAUCUUUAAUUUUUCUUCUCCUGUGUGUAGGGUAAGGGACUCUUCUUCUGAAGAAUCUUUCCAUUUAGUGAUCAAGAUAUGGAAGCUGAUCUCUGAAAAUACUCUUGUGUGUCCUAAUUGUUCCAGUAUCAUUCAAAUUGUAACUUGCACUUCAGUAGCAGUGUUUCUUACUGACUAGGAAAACUUAAUAAAAUAUGUUUCUCGUUUCUA